UUAUGGCCAUAUCACGUUAAAACAUCGGUACCCGUGUGAUCACUGACAUUAAGCAACAUCGAGCCUGGUCAGUACCUAGAUGGGUAACCGUUUGAGAAGAUCAGGUGUU